rnacentral:rRNA from 2 species
UGCUGAAAGCAUCUAAGCACGAAACUUGCCCCGAGAUGAGUUCUCCCUGAGACUUAGAGUCUCCUGAAGGAACGUUGAAGACGACGACGUUGAUAGGCCGGGUGUGUAAGCGCAGCGAUGCGUUGAGCUAACCGGUACUAAUGAACCGUGAGGCUUAACCUU